rnacentral:ncRNA from 16 species
AUCGGCGCGACCGCGACAGGUUCCCCGGCGACGGGGAUGAAAAGGGAACGGGGUUCAAAACCCCGGCUGCCCCUGCAACUGUGAGCGGAGAGCCAUCGGGCCACAUGCCAUUGGGAUUUCGCAUCCCGAGAAGGCGGCCCGAACCGGCAUUGACCCGCAAGCCAGGAGACCUGCCCGUCGCGGUCGUCCUUCG